UCACUCCAUUCAAGAAUCCCAAGUAUUCAAGAUGGACGGCAGGGAGUGUGGAAGGAGAAAGGGGGCGCGGGGGGAAGAACCCGAUCUCUAGAGGAGCGGAGCGCCGCGGCCAGCCCAUCCCGGAGCCCCGGUCCCGGCCGGCGGGUGGAGGGGCAGCUGGCGGGGGCUCGAGUCCGGCGGGGACGGAGAGAGGCUGGCGGGGUACGAGAGGGCGUGAGAAGGGGAGCGAGGCCAGGAAGGGGAGCCAAAAGGGAGGGAAAGGCAGAGAAAGAGCCCGGGAAGAAGGAGGUGGCGGGCAGAGGAACCUAAGAAGAGCGAUGUGCUGGGCCCCAUCCCUGCUGCUCUGGCGGGCAGGGGCCGGAAGAUGGUGGCCAAUGAGGAGGGGGAGUGGAGAGAACUUGAGCCAGGGCCUCCCCUCCCCCAUUUCCUCCUCUGUUUCUACACCCGCUUCUGGAAGGAGCUGGGGGGGUGGUUCCUAGGCCCAAGGUGGGGGAGGGGUCCUGCUGGCUGUUGUAUUGCUGGUCUCCCCUCUCAGGAAUGAGUUGGGCACGUGAGCUCCUAGGGACUCAGUAUCCCAGCUGCCUCUCCCCUCACUCCUUUAAGGAAAGAUCUGGAGACUCCUUGAUGAAGAAUCUUUGGCUGCCCUGAAGCUUACUGGACUCUCCUUCAGCAGUUUUGAGCUUGCUCUGGUGCGGGAAAUGCAACCAAGAGACAGAAUUGAGUCUCUACUCAUGUUUAAGGACAGAAGAUAAUUGGUAUCAGUGAAACCGCACAAUGGGUCAGACAAGCUUUCUUUGGCCCCAACACUCAGAUGUUUCUGGCUUGUGUUUGCCCAGUUCUUUGUCCUGCCCACGGUCUCUCCAGUCUGAUGUUAACAGUAUUUAAGAUAGUAUAGGUAACUCUGAAUCCAUGAGUUCAAGCUGUUAAAGUUAUGAGUCUUCCUGGGCAUAGUGGUACAUGCCCUUAAUACCAGCACUUGGGAGGCAGGUAAAACCAAGUGAGCCAGAGACUAGCUCUAAAAAGGAAAUUCCAGGCAAGCCAGAGCUACAUAGUGAGACCAUUUGCCUGUGGGCCCUUCCCCCAAACAACAGCUUCUUGUCUGGCACAAAACAAACAGCUAUUUGGCAGUAUCUACUUUUUAAGUUUUUGGGGUAUGGAUGUGGCUCGGUAGAGAGAGAGCUUGUCAGGCAUUCACAACAUAAAGCCAGAUAUGGUAAAGCAAACUUGUAAUCCCAACACUAUCAAGGUGGAGGCAGGAGGAUCCCAUGUUCAAAGUCACAUAGCAAGUUAGAAGGCCAGCCUAGACUAUAGAAGACAGUCAUUUGUCCAUGCUUCUGUGGUGUCCUUGAUCAGCCUGUGGACCGUGAGCCCCUUGGCAAACCUAUCUUCAAAAAAUAACAUUAUCGUUCAUAACAGCAAAAUUACAAUUAUGAAGCAACAAAAGUAAUGGUCGGGGUCACCACAACAUGAACCGCAUUAAGACAUUGAGAACCACUGUUACAAGGUUGCGAUUCUCCCAUUUUGAACUUUUAUGUACUCUUACACUUCUAGCCACGUAGAAACACAGUUUCCUCAGAGUAGCUAAGUGUGUGCCACGUCACAUGGUUCUGUAUGAAUCUACGGCGAAGCCAUCCCUGACCCUUCAAAUCUAGGUGAAGUUCCUCCUCAGCUUCCCCUGUACUACAGUCCUUAUCUUCUGUUGAGGUCACCUAGCUUCCUUCUAACCACUGAGCAGGAAAAAAAAAAAAAACAAGUUGUCAGGCCAUGGCUAGCUUCCUUGUGCAACCCUGGAGAUCAACACAAUGCCUGGCAAGUAAAACGUACCUAUAAGUAUUUGCAAUGCCCAUGAGAUGAUCUGGAAAUAAGGAUGUAACUUAAGAGAUUUUUACCGCACAUAUAUGGUCUUCCCCUGUGGGGGCUGAGCGCCUCCAAAUCAACAUUUCACUUCAGUGCACGCCAACCACGUUCCUUAGAUCACACUUCUGUGUUUAUGCUAUAGUUUUGAGCUAUAUCCGACUCCUGUUACACUACCAGCCGAGUCUCAGCCCAUAGAUUUUCAUUUUAGCCUCAAGGGUAUCCAUGAGUUGAUUAAAACAUUCUAGGACUAGGCAUAACAAAACAAGAAGAUGCAAGAAACUGGAACCCACCAAGUUGUGGAAUAAGUUUGCACUAGCUGCUUAUCCUGAGUCCAGAUUAAAAAGUAGCCUCCUUAGGGGGAAGUCUUGGGAUCCGGAAACAGGUGCUACCCAUGGACAAGCUCACCAAAACCAUGCCUCAUAAUUCCCUGCUUGUGAA